ACUAAAUAGGAUUCCCUCAGUAAUGGCGAAUGAACAGGGAUAAGCUCAGCAUGGAAAUCGGGGCCUGUGGCCUUGAAUUGUAGUCUCGAGAUGUACCGCCAACGGAGGCGCAGAUGUAAGCCUCUUGGAAAAGAGCAUCAACGAGGGUGAGAGUCCCGUUUGUCAUCUGCAGUCCCCCGUGCACGGUGUACUUUCUAAAGAGUCACGUUCCUCGGGAUUGGAGCGCAAAGUGGGUGGUAAAUUUCAUCUAAAGCUAAAUAUAGGUUCGAGACCGAUAGCAAACAAGUACCAUGAGGGAAAGGUGAAAAGGACUUUGAAAAGAGAGUUAAAAGUGCCUGAAAUUGCUGAAAGGGAAGCGAAUGGAACCAGUGCUUCUUGGCAAGAUUGGUGCGUGCUAAUGUGAUUUCCUGCUGCUUCAGCGCAAGCGUUGCAGUGGGCUUUGAUCAGGACGCGCGUGUUGUUUCUUGCCUUGUGUGUCAACGUCAGUUCUCGAUCGAGGAAAACGCCAGGGACAUGGUAGCUUGCCCCCGGGUGGGUGAAUGUGCUUGGUUGAACUCAUUUGUGAACUGGUUCUUGCGUGUCUGGUUGCAGUGCCCUGCAUCCCUGUGACUCCAUGGGGAGCUCUCGCUCCUUUCAUGGUUGGAGCGGGUGAUCAGGACAUCUCCCUGACACAACGACGCUGACUAAAUGGUUCUAUUC
rnacentral:rRNA from 1 species